UACGUAGGAUGCAAGCGUUGUCCGGAAUUAUUGGGCGUAAAGAGCGCGCAGGCGGUCUGCCAAGUCAGAUGUGAAAGAGGCCGGCUUAACCGGCAAGGGUCAUUUGAAACUGACAGACUAGAGUGCAGCAGAGGAUAGCGGAAUUCCCGGUGUAGUGGUGAAAUGCGUAGAUAUCGGGAGGAACACCAAAGGCGAAGGCAGUGUCCUGGGGAGUACCUGACGCUCAGGUGCGAAAGCCAGGGGAGCGAACGGG
rnacentral:rRNA from 1 species